rnacentral:rRNA from 1 species
AGUGAACGCUGGCGGUAGGCCUAACACAUGCCAGUCGAACGGCAGCACAGUAAGAGCUUGCUCUUACGGGUGGCGAGUGGCGGACGGGUGAGGAAUACAUCGGAAUCUACUUUUUCGUGGGGGAUAACGUAGGGAAACUUACGCUAAUACCGCAUACGACCUACGGGUGAAAGCAGGGGAUCUUCGGACCUUGCGCGAUUGAAUGAGCCGAUGUCGGAUUAGCUAGUUGGCGGGGUAAAGGCCCACCAAGGCGACGAUCCGUAGCUGGUCUGAGAGGAUGAUCAGCCACACUGGAACUGAGACACGGUCCAGACUCCUACGGGAGGCAGCAGUGGGGAAUAUGGACAAUGGGCGCAAGCCUGAUCCAGCCAUACCGCGUGGGUGAAGAAGGCCUUCGGGUUGUAAAGCCCUUUUGUUGGGAAAGAAAAGCAGCAGGUUAAUACCCCGCUGUUCUGACGGUACCCAAAGAAUAAGCACCGGCUAACUUCGUG